rnacentral:lncRNA from 1 species
UGUUUUUAUUUUAAAAUUACAUAUGAUAUUAUGAUGUGAUGGGCCAAGUCUGACUACUAUACUUUUAUGAGUAUAGAUUUUUUUUGUAUUCAUAAAUUUUCGGCCAUUAGAUGUAUCAUUUAGACUAUUUUCAUCCAUUAGAUCAUAUUAUUCAACCAAUCAUCCACUCAAAUUUAGGAAAUCACUAUUAUCCUAACUGUGAACCACUAUCAUCCUAAUCAUACAUCUCUUCAUCCAACGGUCGAAAACUUAUGAAUAUAAAGGGGUCUAUACUCAUAAGAGUAUAGUAGCCCUAGCCGGCCCAAAUAUUAAUUUAUUUAAUUCCCUUUUUUACUCAAACAAACAAUAUACUUUUUCUAGUUAAUCAAACCUUUAAACUAAGGCUUCUUCUGGAAUUGCGGGAUGAUUGCGUUACGUGUGGUUAUUAUAUAUUUUCUGCGAUCCCACCGAAAAAUGCAGAAGCAUAUUCAUAUAUACUUUUUUCCUAACUCCAUUUUAUCUAACAGCGUUAGAUAGAUCUCAAUACCAAACUAAGCCUAAAAGUAAGAUUACAUAAGUGAAUAUUUGAAUGGUCAUUAAUAGAUUUAGUUG